GUUCAUCUCCUCAUUCAAAUUCUGCUGAACUCAGAGACAUUUUCUUCUGUGGUCUAGGGCCAGCUGGAUGAGACAAGCCUUUCCGAGAUGACAGAAAAUUGGAUGGUGCAACAUUUGCUGAAGAAAAUGUUGAAGAAAUGUCAGCUGACCAGUCUGGCAGGAGAGGAACAAUGCUGUCAUCAACAGGGGUCAGCCACACACUAUUAGUACAUGGACUGGUGAAGGGUUCCAUUGACAUUGGAGCCUCUCUAGGUAUAGGGCCAGUUGGCUAGAGUGUUGACGCCUAUCAAGGGUUGCCUGGCGUUCAACAGUGCAGCUGCCAAGACAUGAGUAAUUCUCCCAACCUUUACGUAUGCACAGCUAACCACAUAUGUAGAGCUAA